rnacentral:sRNA from 1 species
AAACAAUGAAGAAGUCGGAAACAAAA